rnacentral:rRNA from 1 species
UACGUGAAACCGUUCAGGGGUAAACCUGAGAAACCCGAAAGGUCGAAUGGGGAGAUUCAGUCGCGACCCGAGGGUCGGCGCGACCGUCCGGCGCGACGGCGGCCUUAACGGUCGUCCGCGCGCCUCGCGUCGCAACGCCGAUCUCGGACGCGUGCACUUCUCCCCUAGUAGGACGUCGCGAUCCGUUGGGUGCCGGUCUACGGUCCGCAGUGUAGCCCGCGAGCGCGGUUCUCCGUCGCUCGCGGACACGCGGUUAACCGACCGGCUCGCCCGACGGUUUACAGAUGGCGGGAGGCCGCGACUUCAGUUCGCGUCCGGCCCGCGGCAAGCCCGCCACGCCGCGUCGGCGAUCGGACCUGGCGCCGAUCCCGGCCGCUGGCGGCUGUUCGCCGCGGAGCUCUCGGACAGACCUCUCUGAGACGCCGAUCUGCGACGCUAUAGCUUUGGGUACUUUCAGGACCCGUCUUGAAACACGGACCAAGGAGUCUAGCGUGUGCGCGAGUCAUUGGGAUAACACUAAACCUAAAGGCGCAAUGAAAGUAAAGGUUCGUCUCGCGCGAACGGAGGGAAGACGGUCGGUCCGCAGAGACCGACCCGCACUCCCGGGGCGUCUCGUUCUCAUCGCGAGAGGAGGCGCACCAAGAGCGUACACGCUGGGACCCGAAAGAUGGUGAACUAUGCCUGGUCAGGACGAAGUCAGGGGAAACCCUGAUGGAGGUCCGUAGCGAUUCUGACGUGCAAAUCGAUCGUCGGAAC